GACGCCGCCAGCGCCGCGCGGAGCCCCACACCCGCGGAGACAAAGCCAUCUCCGAAACAAAACCUGCCGUCCUGGUGAACACAAUCGAGCAAGGCAGUGAAGCAAAAAUCAUUAGACAAGGUAACUGAGGCACAAAGAGUUCAAGCAACUUGUCCAAAGUCAUCCUCCAGGAAGUGGUGGGGCCAGGACUUGAACGCAGGAAGUCUGCCUCUUGUAUCCAGGCUGUCGUCCACUCAGCCAUGCUGUCUCGUAAAAAGAAGUCAAGUCACACAAAUAAUGUUACAUGUCUUUAAAAGGUGGCUGGACUCAGACACAUCACGCUCCAGUUUGGGUUCCAAGGUGCUUCUCUCUGGAUUUUCACCUGCCUUGCCAAAAAUGAUUGAUUACGCCGGGCCGACUGGGUGUCCGGCAAUACCCAACAAAUGACUUUGGCCCCUAACAGCAGGCCUUGGCCAGAUAGAAAUCAAUAUUUCACCAUUAAAAUCUAUCAAAGAAGA